UACGGAGGGUGCGAGCGUUGUCCGGAAUCAUUGGGCGUAAAGGGCGCGUAGGUGGCCCGGUAAGUCCGUGGUGAAAGCGCGGGGCUCAACCCUGCGUCGGCCAUGAAUACUGCCGCGGCUGGAGCACUGUAGAGGCAGGCGGAAUUCCGGGUGUAGCGGUGGAAUGCGUAGAGAUCCGGAAGAACACCGGUGGCGAAGGCGGCCUGCUGGGCAGUUGCUGACACUGAGGCGCGACAGCGUGGGGAGCAAACAGG
rnacentral:rRNA from 1 species